GACAGAGAAGGAAAAAGUUAUCCGGAAUUAUUGGGCGUAAAGCGUUCGUAGGUGGUUUGACAAGUCUGGGGUUAAAGCCCGGAGCCCAACUCCGGAUCGGCCCUGGAAACUGUCAGACUUGAGUAAGGUAGGGGUUGCGGGAAUUCCCGGUGUAGCGGUGAAAUGCGUAGAUAUCGGGAAGAACACCAGCGGCGAAAGUGCACAACGGGGCCAUUAAUUACUCUGAGGGAUGGAAGCUAGGGGAGCGAAUGGG
rnacentral:rRNA from 1 species